GACGAACGCUGGCGGCGUGCCUAAUACAUGCAAGUCGAACGAGGGGCGGACGGGUGAGUAACACGUGGGAACUACCCAUCAGAGGGGGAUAACACUUGGAAACAGGUGCUAAUACCGCAUACUGAUGGAUUGCCCAGGUGGGAUUAGCUAGUUGGUGAGGUAAUGGCUCACCAAGGCGACGAUCCCUAGCUGGUCGGAGAGGAUGAUCAGCCACACUGGAACUGAGACACGGUCCAGACUCCUACGGGAGGCAGCAGUGGGGAAUAUUGCACAAUGGGGGAAACCCUGAUACAGCCAUGCCGCGUGAGUGAAGAAGGCCUUCGGGUUGUAAAGCACUUUCAGCGAGGAGGCGUUACUCGCAGAGGAAGCACCGGCUAACUCCGUGCCAGCAGCCGCGGUAAUAC
rnacentral:rRNA from 1 species